UGCAUAGACAUUGCUAUGGUUACAAAGGAUUGUGAUGUAAAGCGGGGUAAAUACACAAAUAAGUAAGGUUCAGAUUAAAAAGCAUUGAGGCAUUAAAGUUGACAUGCUCGUUCUUCUUUUACAUAUUUACAUGGUCUUUCUUGGGAGGAGCUUCCAUGGGGGCGGCUCUUGCCCUGGGUGGUCGUUUGUGAGCGACUCUUCAUGGUGUCUGGUGAGGGUUUCUGGGGCUUCUGCCAUGGCGGUAUGCUUUUUUUUAACACUUUUAACUGCUUUUGCCUCAUGCCAAUUUAUUCGUGUAUCGUUUUCAUGAGUACUUCUUGCUGGUGCAGUGUUCAGGUUCCCUCUAGCUACAUCUCUCUUGUGUUCCUGUAUUCUUAGCUCUAAUGGUCUCGCUGUAACUCCUAUAUAAGCUUCUUCCUCGUUUUUUGCGU
rnacentral:lncRNA from 1 species